CCCCCCUCUUUCACCGAGCGCUGCCGGGGCUGAGGAAUUCAUCUUCACAGCUGGGGAGGACCUGAGUGAGGAGCCGCUGCUGCCUGAGCCAGGCCCGGACCAGAGGCCCCACUUGAACCGCUGCUGUCACCGCUGCUGUCGUGGGGACCCCCCUGACACCAGGCCAGGAAGAGAGCCUCGCUGCCUGCCGGAGGGCCCCUCGUGCCCACAGACGUCUGAGCAGAGACGACUGGCUGUCCUGAGCGCAAUUCAAUUCAACAGACAUUUACUGAGUGCCUACUAUGCGCCAGGCCUUAGGCUAGGCACUGGGGUGGGGGAGCAGAGAGGAAGAUGAGGGUCCCAUCCUCAGGUAGCUCUGGGUUGGGGGGCUCGGGGAGGACAGGCAAGGGCUGAACAGCAGCUUAGGUCCAGGAGAGAAGCUGCCUGCUGGGCUGGAAGCAGCAGAUACCUGGGUUCAGGUACAUCCCUGGGGAGCUUCUGUCCCUCGGCUGUGCCUCAGUUUGCCCAUCUGUAAAACAGGGGGAGAAGAGCUGGGGUAAAGCAAUCCCUAGGAUCUUUCCAGGAUUCCAUGAGGAUGGACUAGGGGAUGGGGGUAGAGCAGGGAAGCUACCGCUCCCUGCAGAGAUCUCUGAAAGCUUCUCAGAGGAGGAGGCAUGAAGUCUGGGCUACAGAGGGUGGGGAAGUGUGGGAAUGGCACCCCAGGCUCGGGAACAGCGUGAGCAAAGGCCCAGGGAACA